UCGUCUCCUUUUCAUCGUCAAACGUUGC
rnacentral:piRNA from 1 species